CGGCACGCUUCAUACUGCAAGUCGAGGGGCAGCAUAAAGUACUUGUACUUUGAUGGCGACCGGCGAACGGGUGCGUAACGCGUAUGCAACUUACCUUUUACUAGAGAAUAGCCAAGAGAAAUUUUGAUUAAUGCUCUAUACUCUUUUUAACUCACAUGAGUUUUUAAGAAAAGCUCCGGCGGUAAAAGAUGGGCAUGCGUCCUAUUAGCUUGUAGGUGAGGUAACGGCUCACCUAAGCUCCGAUAGGUAGGGGUCCUGAGAGGGAGAUCCCCCACACUGGUACUGAGACACGGACCAGACUUCUACGGAAGGCAGCAGUAAGGAAUAUUGGACAAUGGAGGAAACUCUGAUCCAGCGAUGCCGCGUGAAGGAAGACGGCCCUAUGGGUUGUAAACUUCUUUUAUACAGGAAGAAACCUUUCCACGUGGGAAAGCUGACGGUACUGUAAGAAUAAGGAUCGG
rnacentral:rRNA from 1 species